UCGAACGCGAAAGCCCCGCAAGGGGCAAGUAGAGUGGCAAACGGGUGAGUAACACGUGGGUGACCUGCCUUCGAGCGGGGGAUAACGUCCCGAAAGGGACGCUAAUACCGCAUAACAUCCUGCCUUUGAAGAGGUAGAGAUCAAAGCCGGGGAUCGCAAGACCUGGCACUCGGAGAGGGGCCCGCGCCUGAUUAGCUAGUUGGUGGGGUAAUGGCCUACCAAGGCAACGAUCAGUAUCCGGCCUGAGAGGGCGGACGGACACACUGGGACUGAGACACGGCCCAGACUCCUACGGGAGGCAGCAGUGGGGAAUUGUUCGCAAUGGGCGCAAGCCUGACGACGCAACGCCGCGUGGAGGAUGAAGAUUUUCGGAUCGUAAACUCCUGUCGAAUGGGACGAAUAGAUUGCGGGUUAACAGCCCGUAGUCCUGACGGUACCGUUAAAGGAAACCCCGGCUAACUCCGUGCCAGCAGCCGCGGUAAUACGGGGGGGGUAAGCGUUG
rnacentral:rRNA from 1 species